rnacentral:rRNA from 1 species
UACGUAGGGUGCAAGCGUUAAUCGGAAUUACUGGGCGUAAAGCGUGCGCAGGCGGUUUUGUAAGUCUGUCGUGAAAUCCCCGGGCUCAACCUGGGAAUUGCGAUGGAGACUGCAAGGCUAGAAUCUGGCAGAGGGGGGUAGAAUUCCACGUGUAGCAGUGAAAUGCGUAGAGAUGUGGAGGAACACCGAUGGCGAAGGCAGCCCCCUGGGUCAAGAUUGACGCUCAUGUACGAAAGGCGUGGGGAGCAAACGGG